CCUACGGGGUGCAGCAGUGGGGAAUAUUGCACAAUGGGCGCAAGCCUGAUGCAGCAACGCCGCGUGAAGGAAGACGGUUUUCGGAUUGUAAACUUCUGUUCUUAGUGAAGAAUAAUGACGGUAACUAAGGCGCAAGCCACGGCUAUCUACGUGCCAGCAGCCGCGGUAAUACGUAGGGGGCAAGCGUUGUCCGGAAUUACUGGGUGUAAAGGGAGCGUAGGCGGGAAGCCAAGUCAGCUGUGAAACCUACGGGCUUAACCUGUAGACUGCAGUUGAUACUGGCUUUCUUGAGUGAAGUAGAGGUUGGCGGAAUUCCGAGUGUAGCGGUGAAAUGCGUAGAUAUUCGGAGGAACACCGGUGGCGAAGGCGGCCAACUGGGCUUGAACUGACGCUGAGGCUCGAAAGUGUGGGGAGCAAACAGGAUUAGAUACCCCGGUAGUC
rnacentral:rRNA from 1 species